GCCCAGGUACGCCAAUCGGCAGAGCGGCGCGGCUUAAACCCGCGCGGCUGUGGGUUCGAGUCCCACCCUGGGUA
rnacentral:tRNA from 1 species